UACUCGAGUGGCGAACGGGUGAGUAACACGUGGGUGAUCUGCCCUGCACUUCGGGAUAAGCUUGGGAAACUGGGUCUAAUACCGGAUAGGAGCCAUCUUUAGUGUGGUGGUUGGAAAGUUUUUUCGGUGUAGGAUGAGCUCGCGGCCUAUCAGCUUGUUGGUGGGGUAAUGGCCUACCAAGGCGGCGACGGGUAGCCGGCCUGAGAGGGCGUACGGCCACAUUGGGACUGAGAUACGGCCCAG
rnacentral:rRNA from 1 species